AUUGAACGCUGGCGGCAGGCCUAACACAUGCAAGUCGAAUGGUAACAGGAAACAGCUUGCUGUUUCGCUGACGAGUGGCGGACGGGUGAGUAAUGUCUGGGAAACUGCCUGAUGGAGGGGGAUAGCUACUGGAAACGGUAGCUAAUACCGCAUAACGUCGCAAGACCAAAGAGGGGGACCUUCGGGCCUCUUGCCAUCAGAUGUGCCCAGAUGGGAUUAGCUAGUAGGUGGGGUAACGGCUCACCUAGGCGACGAUCCCUAGCUGGUCUGAGAGGAUGACCAGCCACACUGGAACUGAGACACGGUCCAGACUACUACGGGAGGCAGCAGUGGGGAAUAUUGCACAAUGGGCGCAAGCCUGAUGCAGCCAUGCCGCGUGUAUGAAGAAGGCCUUCGGGUUGUAAAGUACUUUCAGCGGGGAGGAAGGGAGUAAAGUUAAUACCUUGGCUCAUUGACGUUACCCGCAGAAGAAGCACCGGCUAACUCCGUG
rnacentral:rRNA from 1 species